CGCGUAGGCGGCGGACCUUGUCGAGUGUGAAAGCCCCCGGGCUCAACCUGGGAGGUGCGCUCGAGACGGGUUUGCUGGAGUUCGGGAGAGGAGAGUGGAAUUCCCAGUGUAGAGGUGAAAUUCGUAGAUAUUGGGAAGAACACCGGUGGCGAAGGCGGCUCUCUGGACCGAGACUGACGCUGAGGCGCGAAAGCGUGGGGAGCAAACAGGAUUAGAUACCCUGGUAGUCCACGCUGUAAACGAUGUGUGCUAGACGUUGGGGAGCGCAGCUCUUCGGUGUCGCCGCAAACGCUUUAAGCACACCGCCUGGGGAGUACGGCCGCAAGGUUAAA
rnacentral:rRNA from 1 species